GAAGAUUUAGGUUACAGAGUCAGGAGAUUUAGGUUACAGAGUCAAGAGAUUUAGGUUUCAGAGUCAGGAGAUUUAGGUUACAGUCAGGAGAUUAAGGUUUCAGAGUCAGGGGAUUUAGGUUACAGAGUCAGGAGAUUUAGGUUACAGAGUCAGGAGAUUUAGGUUACAGAGUCCAGAGAUUUAGGUUACAGAGUCAGGAGAUUUAGGUAACAGAGUCAGGAGAUUUAGGUUACAGAGUCAGGAGACUUAGGUUUCAGAGUCAGGAGAUUUAGGUUUCAGAGUCAGGAGAUUUAGGUUACAGAGUCCGGA